GGAGGAAGAGAUUAGAGAGGCUGCUUUAUUUUACAGUUGCCGUUGGGGGAACGCCUCCUUCCUUCCCAGAGACGAGACUUGGCAACGGGGUCUGGAUUGUGGGAUCCGCGCUCUGCGCCCUGUCCGCGCCGAAGCUGGACUUGUCAUCGGUUUAGAAUAGCAGGGUUAAGAAGUGUGGUGUGGAUGGAUGGACGGGCCUCACAAGAAAUGCUCAAAAGCCCAGUAUUAACCAAACAUGUUUCUCUUUUUUUGCCUUUGA
rnacentral:lncRNA from 1 species